rnacentral:rRNA from 1 species
UACGUAGGGGGCAAGCGUUGUCCGGAUUUAUUGGGCGUAAAGAGCGUGUAGGCGGCUUGACAGGUCUGCUGUGAAAACUCGAGGCUCAACCUCGAGAUGUCGGCGGAAACCGUCUGGCUAGAGUCCGGAAGAGGAGAGUGGAAUUCCUGGUGUAGCGGUGAAAUGCGCAGAUAUCAGGAAGAACACCUAUGGCGAAGGCGGAUCUCUGGGCCGAUACUGACGCUGAGGAGCGAAAGCGUGGGGAGCAAACAGG